GCGAUCGAUGGGAGCUUGCUCCCUGAGAUUAGCGGCGGACGGGUGAGUAACACGUGGGCAACCUGCCUAUAAGACUGGGAUAACUUCGGGAAACCGGAGCUAAUACCGGAUACGUUCUUUUCUCGCAUGAGAGAAGAUGGAAAGACGGUUUACGCUGUCACUUAUAGAUGGGCCCGCGGCGCAUUAGCUAGUUGGUGAGGUAAUGGCUCACCAAGGCGACGAUGCGUAGCCGACCUGAGAGGGUGAUCGGCCACACUGGGACUGAGACACGGCCCAGACUCCUACGGGAGGCAGCAGUAGGGAAUCUUCCGCAAUGGACGAAAGUCUGACGGAGCAACGCCGCGUGAACGAAGAAGGCCUUCGGGUCGUAAAGUUCUGUUGUUAGGGAAGAACAAGUACCAGAGUAACUGCUGGUACCUUGACGGUACCUAACCAGAAAGCCACGGCUAACUACGUGCCAGCAGCCGCGGUAAUACGUAGGUGGCAAGCGUUGUCCGGAAUUAUUGGGCGUAAAGCGCGCGCAGGUGGUUCUUUAAGUCUGAUGUGAAAGCCCACGGCUCAACCGUGGAGGGUCAUUGGAAACUGGGGAACUUGAGUGCAGAAGAGGAAAGUGGAAUUCCAAGUGUA
rnacentral:rRNA from 1 species